rnacentral:rRNA from 1 species
GACGAACGCUGGCGGCGUGCCUAAUACAUGCAAGUAGAACGCUGAAGGAGGAGCUUACUUCACUGGAUGAGUUGCGAACGGGUGAGUAACGCGUAGGUAACCUGCCUGGUAGCGGGGGAUAACUAUUGGAAACGAUAGCUAAUACCGCAUAAUAUUGACUAUUGCAUGAUAGUCAAUUAAAAGGUGCAAUUGCACCACUACCAGAUGGACCUGCGUUGUAUUAGCUAGUUGGUGAGGUAACGGCUCACCAAGGCGACGAUACAUAGCCGACCUGAGAGGGUGAUCGGCCACACUGGGACUGAGACACGGCCCAGACUCCUACGGGAGGCAGCAGUAGGGAAUCUUCGGCAAUGGACGGAAGUCUGACCGAGCAACGCCGCGUGAGUGAAGAAGGUUUUCGGAUCGUAAAGCUCUGUUGUAAGAGAAGAACGAGUGUGAGAGUGGAAAGUUCACACUGGACG